UACGAAGGGUGCAAGCGUUAAUCGGAAUUACUGGGCGUAAAGCGUGCGUAGACGGUUAUGUAAGUCGGGUGUGAAAGCCCCGGGCUCAACCUGGGAAUGCCAUUCGAGACUGCAUAGCUAGGGUGCGGAAGAGGGAAGCGGAAUUUCAGGUGUAGCGGUGAAAUGCGUAGAUAUCUGAAGGAACACCAGUGGCGAAAGCGGCUUCCUGGUCCAGCACCGACGUUCAGGCACGAAAGCGUGGGGAGCAAACAGG
rnacentral:rRNA from 1 species